GGACCCUUUACUGGCUUAUGCUAGUGGAGCUGUUAAUUAAUUAAAUAACUGUGUGUGAAUGGCAUCCGUUGGGAAAGAGCCUCGCAGCUUCCAGAUGCCAGUUAUUGGCCCCAUUACGGGCCUAAAACUAUUACAGUAAAUCAUUACAUGCUCCAGGAUGAACUGGCACAUGAUUGCUGUGAGGAAGGAUGGAGCUAUUCUCGCUUGUGCCAUUUUGUGCCAGUUUUUAUCUAGUGAGAUUAAUUAGUACUUUUAGAAGUGCAAGUCAGAGCUGUAAAAUAUUAAAGACUAUUCCAUCCGUGGAAGGGAGAGCUGCUCAAGAAGGGCUUUGAAAGCUUUGGGGUGUUGAUGGGUAGAUAGGAGUUGGAAGAGAUGAAGAGCCCAUCUGAUCUGGAUUUUUUUAAAGGUCAAAUUUACAGUUAGUGAGGCUGCAGCGAGUCCCCUUCGGGCGCUCUGGGAGUCCUCCGAGGACGACGUCAGGGUUAAUGGCUAAAGCUCAGGUGCCAGUGGACUUCUUUUGGCACGAGGAGAGUCACAGCUCUGAACUUUGGUGUAGUGCUUCAGACUGUGAAGAAAUCUGGCAGUGAAGACCACAGCAUCAGAACAGCAGGCCGAUAAAAUUUUGCAAAUCUAAAGAAGCUUCAGAAUUGUUAAAGCUGCUUAAGUUUUUACUGAGCACAAAUUAACCAACCCACUUUGACAACAUCUCCACUGACAUACCCUGAUUUUCUAAACCUAUUCAUUGCAUGGUCCAAACACAGCAUAUAUUUGUAACGUAACUGGGAGACUGCCUCAAGUCAUGCACUUCUAUGGAAAGGGAUUCUUUGUCGAGCAUGGUAUCCACAGGGGCUGAACACACAGCACAAGAGAUUCGGGGUCAGCUGGCUAAGAACUGGUGCUAUGAAACAUUGGCUGAGGCUGGAGGAAGGCUUUGCAGCUGGCAGUCUGGCUACUCAAGGGAGCUGGACUUGCUAGUGCGUUUUCACUGACUGGUGUUCUCAUAUCGGGUAUGCAGAGGACUAUUUUAAGCUGGAAGGUGUGGCUGAAACCUGCUCAACAUGACAAUGCCCAGCACCACCUACCAUUGCACACAGACUCAGUGAGUUACAGUAAACGUGAAUGAUCCUGAUCUCCUUCAGUGUUGCUGUCAGUAUUACAGAGGAGAAGGCUGGGAGCCAGUGGAGAUGUUGGCCUGGAGACCGAUCUGUGACUGGGUUUGAGUAGACCUCUCGAGAUGCUCUGCACAGAGGACCCACUUGAGCAUGUUCGUCUCUCCCAGCAGUGUGCUGCUGUGUGAGAAUAUGUGGGUAUCUUGCACCAAAAUCCUAGCUGUCUCUUGAUAGCGUGAAUAGCUGGGAAGGGUGAUGCAGAAGCCUUUCCCCUGGCCUUCAGCAAGCCACCGCUGAGGCCCUGAGGUUUACCUGGUGCCACCUGGAAUCCCAUGACCUUGCUUGGCCUUUUUCGUAGCAGCAGCCUAAAAAUCUUGUCCUUCCUGUACCCUUGGACACCAAGAUGUCUUCUCUUUGAUCUUUGCCCAGAGGGCUAGGAGGUCCUCGGUACAGGCCCAGCUUAGGCGCAGGAGAAACAAGCCUGACAAAAGGGUUAGUUUAAAAAAUAUAGUGGGUGUGCCAACUCUUCUGGAGCAUGAGAGCGCAAAGAUGCAGAGUAUGGCUCUUAACAAGCGUUCAGCAAGGAGGCGACAUCUGGUUGCUGUUAUCCUCGAGCACUGAGGCUCACACAGGUACACAGACCAGUUGCCUGGGGUAGGAUGCAAAGCAGGCAGGGCAAGGCUGCCAAAAUUUCCCCAAGGACAGCCACAGCUCUUCAAAACCAUCUACUUCAAUGGGAAAUUAUUCCCGACUGCAAAUAGAACAAAGCCUCCAAAACCACUUACCUGUUACACUGAUAUGUCACAUGGGUUCAGAUCUCCUAUAUUUGGGUAUCUCAGUAAUAGUAAGUAAUAAUAGUAAUACUGGUAAUAAAGGGUUUACACGCAUAAAGUCUCAGCAAAGCAGAAGACUAUUAAUCUCCACGAAAGCAUGGCUCUGAUGUAGAAAGCUGAGACUGCUUUUGGUGCUAAGUGCUGACUGACGGGAAGACACCUGGAGCUGCAAGGAGAAAAACAAGAAGGAAAAGACGACUGUUUUUGCAUUUGAUUCCUCCUGAGUCCAGAGGAGCAGGAUUUUAUGCCUUUUUCAUAAAUAAGCCAUAUAACAACUACAUAAUUGACUCCAUCACCAGUUUCAUCCCUCAGCGGGAAGAACCUGCGGGUCAGCUAUGGCCAACUUCUUUAUAUUUUAAAGCAUUAACAUGCUAGACAUGUUAGUUAACAGUUCAAGACAAUAUUAAGAAUCCUUUUGUCUUGAUAUGCUUUAUUCAUAGCUCAGUGCCAUUGUGCUGUCUCCUUUCAGGCAUAGGGCUUUAAUUUCAGUGUCUGCUCUAACGCACCGGAGUUUUCCAUCCAGGAGAUCCUGCAGAUGCAUUGUUCUGAUGCUCUUUUCUCAGCCGGCAGGAUUUUUCCACUGCCACAGGCUUCCUAUCUCUUCCAGCGUUUUCCCCUCUUUCCAAAACAUGCAGCUCCUAUGCUGUUCUAUAGUUGUCGCAAACAUUAAGCAAGUGAAGCUUCACUGGACCUUCCUAAACGAGCUCAAGUUUGGUGACCCGGCAUGGCUUUCUCCUGAGGUGGGUAUUAAGUUUGGCAUAAAGACAAUUAUUAGAGCAGCCAUAGAAAAUAACUAAAAUGUCACGUUGGUCUUCUCUGUGACAUGGUCCAAGUCUUGUGCCUAGCAGCCAUCAAACAGUGUUGCCUUUGCCCAUUAGUCUUCAGUUAAAAUACAACCAUGGAUAUGUUUCCAUGAGAACCUUUAUCUUUUGCCAUUUCCAGACUCUGUGGAAAAGAAAGUAAAUGGUUGGCAUCAGUUACAUAAGAAAUAGGAAACUUGAAUUUUAUGUGCAAGUAGAAACUUAAACCAAGCAAACUAUUAUUUGUAUUUUAUUUGCUCUAUUAAAAAAGUCUAGAAUACAAAAAUCUUUUUUGCUGAAUAUAAAAAUAGUAUUUUCUUUCCAGGUUUCUGUAGGCACACUGGCUUAUUGAAAAAUGAAGCCCACAAAAUGCCUUAAUUUAUUUUUGCUAAAAAGCACUCUCUAACGAAGAUGGGGGAACAAAGGGUGAACGAGCUCCUCUGGUUUCAAGUUUGCUGCUUUGAGUCAAUGUUGCAUACAAAGCACCAAACAAAAAAAUCUAAGGAAUGCAUACAAAAUCCUAAAUAACGCAACGCUGAGCUGAAGCACAACGAUACCUGCAUGAAAGGAUUUUAAUUUCUAAGAAAUUCUUGGAGCUAUUUGAGUUCAGGAAGAUCUUUGUGCACUCUUUGCUCGCUCUUAGCAAUACGCAGUAGCACUUACCUUUUGCCCUCCAUUAAAAAAAAAGGUAAAAACACAUUUCUUCUUUAACCACAGUUGAUGAAGAUACAAGCCAAACUGUUGCUUCCCAGGUUCUUUAUCAGUGCAUCUUUCUCAGCGUUGCAUCCUACUGGCAUAAUUUUGGCAGAGGAGGUCAGUGCACUCCCAAAUUGCACACGGUCUAUUCCUCCUACGAACUCACAUGGAAAUGCAGCUGCCCAGCAGCUCUGAAAGCUGGCCUGGUUAGGUAUUGAACAGAAAUGCGCAGAGCAUGAAUAGCACAAUUAUCAGAGAGUUUUAGAAAGAUCUGUAUUCAAAGUAGAAAUAAAAAGGGAAGAUUUUGAAAUUUUCUGA